GCGUGCUUCAACAAGAAGGAUCUAUCCUCAUGAAUGUGGGCGCUCUGGCACAAUGAAAGGAAAAAUGUGCACUACAGAUUUUUACGUGGUUCAGAUAAAAAAAUCCUAUGUCGAUCGUUGUUUACUCAGCUAUUGACGAUGAAUAAGUUUCCGUUCAUGUUUGCUUUUAUACAAUAGCGCAUCAGUUACAUAAUUUGAAUUUGAAUUUCUAAGCUGUUAUUUUGCAGCUGGUUUUUAUACAUGAUAAAUAGCAUGCAGAUCCUUUAGAUCCUCCUUGCCUUUCUUGCUUGAUAUUAUGGUUUCAACCAAAUCCCUAUUUGAAUGUCAUCUUUAUCAGUAGAGAUAUCACUAUUAUGGGCAGGCGGAUGUCGUCGUGAUUUUCGGGAGACUCUCUAUCAAAUAUUAAAAUGGUAACCGGACAUAAAUUGAACAAAAUAGGUGUAGCAGGUCUAAUGGGGGACAAGCACCGCUCCUACCUUUGGCAUUGCUGAGAGGAAGUUCAGGUGAAUGGAGCAGAAUUCUCAAUCCUUGACGAAUGCAUGUAGUUCCUUAACCACCUUGAGGAUGGAGGUGGUCGCAUUUUGCGUCAGUCCAACAAUGGUGACUGGAAAAAGGAGGUUGCAGAAAUCAGUUUUCUCUCGAGAGCUGCUAACUAUGUGUCACCUUUUGGCAUUUUGCGGUAGAAUAACAAGCCAGAUAGCUUCUCUCUACAAUUCCAGACAAUAGCUCUAGCAGGAAACGGAUUAUGACAAAUUCUGUGGUGAAUCUCUGUAUGUGGGUUAAGAUCCUUAGAGGUCGUUUGAUGGGCAUAGGACACGCAGAACAGGACAUGCGUGUCCUGUUUAAUUGAUUUUGUUAUCAAACGCUGUCCAUGGUACACGAUGGACAGAACGGACAAUUAGACAGGGGUAUAAAUUUAAACUCUGUUCUUCGCUGUUCCGAGCUAACCCUCGGAACAGCGCCUCGGAACAGCAUGUCCUGCUCAACCCCAAGCGCAUCCCUCGACUCUCGAGCGUCCCCCGAGUUUUCCCCUUUCUCCUCCUCCGACUCCCGAGCAUCCCCCGACUUUUCCCCCUGUCUCUGCAUCCAAUUCUCCCUCUUCUCUUUGAGUCUCCCCUUUCCACUGCUUUACACCUCUCCCUUUCCACAGCUCUACGCCUUCCUCCCCUGCUUUACGACUUCAUCUCGAGCGAUCACCUCAUUUCUGCAAGUCCAUAGUUGGGUGAACAACUUUUUUCAUGUGUCUUCCGCACUUCCUCGGAAUUUCGAAUCUAUGGAAUCCCGUUGCUGAGGAAGAG